rnacentral:rRNA from 1 species
UACGUAGGGUGCGAGCGUUAAUCGGAAUUACUGGGCGUAAAGCGUGCGUAGGUGGUUCGUUGUGUCUGUGGUGAAAGCCCCGGGCUCAACCUGGGAAUGGCCGUUGAAACUGGCGAACUGGAGUGUGGCAGAGGGGGGUGGAAUUCCGCGUGUAGCAGUGAAAUGCGUAGAGAUGCGGAGGAACACCGAUGGCGAAGGCAGCCCCCUGGGCUAACACUGACGCUCAGGCACGAAAGCGUGGGGAGCAAACAGG